rnacentral:rRNA from 1 species
GAUGAACGCUGGCGGCGUGCCUAAUACAUGCAAGUCGAGCGAACGGACGAGAAGCUUGCUUCUCUGAUGUUAGCGGCGGACGGGUGAGUAACACGUGGAUAACCUACCUAUAAGACUGGGAUAACUUCGGGAAACCGGAGCUAAUACCGGAUAAUAUUUUGAACCGCAUGGUUCAAAAGUGAAAGACGGUCUUGCUGUCACUUAUCGAUGGAUCCGCGCUGCAUUAGCUAGUUGGUAAGGUAACGGCUUACCAAGGCAACGAUGCAUAGCCGACCUGAGAGGGUGAUCGGCCACCCUGGAACUGAGCCACGGUCCAGACUCCUACGGGAGGCAGCAGUAGGGAAUCUUCCGCAAUGGGCGAAAGCCUGACGGAGCAACGCCGCGUGAGUGAUGAAGGUCUUCGGAUCGUAAAACUCUGUUAUUAGGGAAGAACAUAUGUGUAAGUAACUGUGCACAUCUUGACGGUACCUAAUCAGAAAGCCACGGCUAACUACGUG